rnacentral:rRNA from 1 species
AUUGAACGCUGGCGGCAGGCCUAACACAUGCAAGUCGGACGGUAGCACAGAGAGCUUGCUCUUGGGUGACGAGUGGCGGACGGGUGAGUAAUGUCUGGGGAUCUGCCCGAUAGAGGGGGAUAACCACUGGAAACGGUGGCUAAUACCGCAUAACGUCGCAAGACUAAAGAGGGGGACCUUCGGGCCUCUCACUAUCGGAUGAACCCAGAUGGGAUUAGCCAGUAGGCGGGGUAAUGGCCCACCUAGGCGACGAUCCCUAGCUGGUCUGAGAGGAUGACCAGCCACACUGGAACUGAGACACGGUCCAGACUCCUACGGGAGGCAGCAGUGGGGAAUAUUGCACAAUGGGCGCAAGCCUGAUGCAGCCAUGCCGCGUGUAUGAAGAAGGCCUUCGGGUUGUAAAGUACUUUCAGCGGGGAGGAAGGCGACGCGGUUAAUAACCGCGUCGAUUGACGUUACCCGCAGAAGAAGCACCGGCUAACUCCGUGCCAGCCGCCGCAGUAA